rnacentral:rRNA from 1 species
UACGUAGGGUGCAAGCGUUGUCCGGAAUUAUUGGGCGUAAAGAGCUCGUAGGCGGUCUGUCGCGUCUGCUGUGAAAACUCAGGGCUUAACCCUGAGCUUGCAGUGGGUACGGGCAGACUAGAGUGCGGUAGGGGAGACUGGAAUUCCUGGUGUAGCGGUGAAAUGCGCAGAUAUCAGGAGGAACACCGGUGGCGAAGGCGGGUCUCUGGGCCCGUAACUG